UAGUUGUCCUCUAUUUCUACCAAUCUCCUUCUAGAUUGUUCGGGAUUCUUCUCAACUCUUCCAAAACAAGGAUUAGCAUUGAGGCUAUACCUUCUCUAUGAACUGAAUGGCUUGGAUCGAAGUGAAACCACUAGGUAAAAUGGCCGGGUAUACUGCUGUGGCUGGGGAUCGGCCAUGUCCUACAGCAGCGGGGCUAUAGCCUUGCUGUAGCUGGCGUGGUUUGAGUGGUUCUGCCUGACUAAGGAAACCGGAUCGCUACUUCGCAAUGUGCCAGAAGCUCUAUUUCCCUUCCUUCAUGGAGCUAGUUAGUAUGAAGCUUAGUUAUUAAUAGGUUCUUCUCGGUUGUACUCUUUUACUUUGUCUACUUUGUAGAAUCCGCAAUUACAGUAGAAACAUAGUAUGUGAUAAAUUGUUCAAGGAAUUUAUGAAUUCUGAAUUAGUAAUUUGGAUUUUAAUAUGAAAUAUAUCGUGUUGAGUAAUGAGU